AUGUGUGACCUUCUGACCAGAAAAAAUAUGCAACUAGAUUCCACCCAAUGUGGAUUAUGUGAUGCUGAAGAUUAUGAAGACAGAAUGCAUCUUCUCUUCUCUUGCCCUUUCAGCCAGGGUUUUUGGUGGAGCAUUGGUCUUGAAUGGAGCACUGACCUGAAUAUUCAUGAUAUGAUUAUUGAAGCUCAUCAUAGAUAUAAACUACACCAUUUCAUGGAAAUUUUGAUUAUUGGAUGCUGGAGCAUAUGGAAUCAAAGAAAUGAUCUGAUAUUUGAAGGAAUCCCAUGCUCUAUCAAUGAUUGCAGAUAUGAAUUUAUCAAAACUUUCAAAUUGACUAUGCUAAGAGCCAAACCCAGUUUAAAGGAGGGCAUGUCAUCCUGGAUUGAUAACAUCUAA
rnacentral:rRNA from 1 species